GAUGAACGCUGGCGGCGUGCCUAAUACAUGCAAGUCGAGCGAACAGGCGAGGCUCUUGCUGGUCUCACGUGAGCGGAACGCGGGUGAAAAACGCGUGGAUCACCUCCCUGUAAGUCUGGUAAAACUUCGGAAAUGCGGCGAUAAUCCCGGAUAAGCUCUUGAUGCGCGUGGGUGGAUGGUAAAAUUCGGUUGUUCUGGCAGUUGGGGAUGGAUGUCCGCCUCAUGAGCUGGUUGGUGCUUUAGCGGCUUUCCAAGGGUUCGCCGGGUAGCCGGCCUGAGAGGGUGACCGGCCACAUUGGGACUGAGAUACGGCCCAGACUCCUACGGGAGGCAGCAGUGGGGAAUAUUGCGCAAUGGGCGGAAGCCUGAUGCAGCAACGCCGCGUGCGGGAUGACGGCCUUCGGGUUGUAAACCGCUUUCGCCUGUGACGAAGCGUGAGUGACGGUAAUGGGUAAAGAAGCACCGGCUAACUACGUG
rnacentral:rRNA from 1 species